rnacentral:rRNA from 1 species
CUAAUCAUGCAAGUCGAGCGCGGGAAGCAGAAAGAUUCCUUCGGGAUGACAUCUGUGGAACGAGCGGCGGAUGGGUGAGUAACACGUGGGCAACCUGCCUGUAAGACUGGGAUAACUCCGGGAAACCGGGGCUAAUACCGGAUAAAGCUCCAUGCCGCAUGGCAUGAGGAUGAAAGACGGCUUUGCUGUCGCUUGCAGAUGGGCCCGCGGCGCAUUAGCUAGUUGGUGGGGUAAUGGCCUACCAAGGCGACGAUGCGUAGCCGACCUGAGAGGGUGACCGGCCACACUGGGACUGAGACACGGCCCAGACUCCUACGGGAGGCAGCAGUAGGGAAUCUUCCGCAAUGGACGCAAGUCUGACGGAGCAACGCCGCGUGAGCGAUGAAGGUCUUCGGAUCGUAAAGCUCUGUUGUCAGGGAAGAACACGUGUGAGAGUAACUGCUCACACCUUGACGGUACCUGACCAGAAAGCCACGGCUAACUACGUGCCAGCAGCCGCGGUAAUACGUAGGUGGCAAGCGUUGUCCGGAAUUAUUGGGCGUAAAGGGCUCGCAGGCGGUCCCUUAAGUCUGAUGUGAAAUCUUGCGGCUUAACCGCAAGCGGUCAUUGGAAACUGGGGGACUUGAGUACAGAAGAGGAGAGUGGAAUUCCACGUGUAGCGGUGAAAUGCGUAGAGAUGUGGAGGAACACCAGUGGCGAAGGCGG